CCUACGGGCGGCAGCAGUGAGGAAUAUUGGUCAAUGGACGAGAGUCUGAACCAGCCAAGUAGCGUGAAGGAUGACUGCCCUAUGGGUUGUAAACUUCUUUUAUAUGGGAAUAAAAUGUUCCACGUGUGGGAUUUUGUAUGUACCCUAUGAAUAAGGAUCGGCUAACUCCGUGCCAGCAGCCGCGGUAAUACGGAGGAUCCGAGCGUUAUCCGGAUUUAUUGGGUUUAAAGGGAGCGUAGGUGGAUUGUUAAGUCAGUUGUGAAAGUUUGCGGCUCAACCGUAAAAUUGCAGUUGAAACUGGCAGUCUUGAGUACAGUAGAGGUGGGCGGAAUUCGUGGUGUAGCGGUGAAAUGCUUAGAUAUCACGAAGAACUCCGAUUGCGAAGGCAGUUCACUGGACUGCAACUGACACUGAGGCUCGAAAGUGUGGGUAUCAAACAGGAUUAGAUACCCGUGUAGUC
rnacentral:rRNA from 1 species